rnacentral:lncRNA from 1 species
UCUAAUUUGAUGCUCAGUCUCCUUACUUAAAAUGUAACUCACCUUCCUUGUGCUCUGCUCUCUUUUUCUCUGUAAAGAGCCUCAUCUGCUUUCUGGAACCCUGGUCCUCCACUUGCGUUCUUGCCUCCUCGCUUGGGAUGCCAGCGGUAACGGGACUGGCUCCCCGUUCUGAUUCUGAACAAGGUUACAGGCCAGUAUGGACUUCACUGCCCAGACUGGAAGUGAACUAGGAGGAAGGGACUGGGAAGAGCAUCUCCAAACACACCCAGAACUGCCGUUGGGUUAUACAUGGACUCUUGGAAGAGAACAGCUACAGUUUGCCUCAGGAUGGCACCUUGCCUCCAGAUUCCCAUCUGCUCCAGCCAGGUAAUAAGGCCAUCUGGAGCCUUUUGUGCUCCAUUCCUGGCUGGCAACCCAGGGGUCUAAAGGUGAGUCCUGAUCCUGGUCCUAUGUCCAGACUCUUGUCUGUUGGAAGCAUGGUAAGAAUUUGAUUUUGAUUUUUUUUUUUUUUUUUGAGUCUUUAGUUGAUUUCUGGUGAUGGAUUUUUUUUUUUUUUUGGUUUUGUAGUUAGAUAAUUUGGCUAUCUCUGUAAGUGAAUUAAAUGGUUUA